GGCGCACGGGUGAGUAACGCGUAUCCAACCUUCCCAUUACUGUGGGAUAACCUGCCGAAAGGCAGACUAAUACCGCAUAGUCUUCGAUGACGGCAUCAGAUUUGAAGUAAAGAUUUAUCGGUAAUGGAUGGGGAUGCGUCUGAUUAGCUUGUUGGCGGGGUAACGGCCCACCAAGGCUACGAUCAGUAGGGGUUCUGAGAGGAAGGUCCCCCACAUUGGAACUGAGACACGGUCCAAACUCCUACGGGAGGCAGCAGUGAGGAAUAUUGGUCAAUGGACGGAAGUCUGAACCAGCCAAGUAGCGUGCAGGAUGACGGCCCUAUGGGUUGUAAACUGCUUUUGUAUGGGGAUAAAGUUAGGGACGUGUCCCUAUUUGCAGGUACCAUACGAAUAAGGACCGGCUAAUUCCGUGCCAGCAGCCGCGGUAAUACGGAAGGUCCAGGCGUUAUCCGGAUUUAUUGGGUUUAAAGGGAGCGUAGGCUGGAGAUUAAGUGUGUUGUGAAAUGUAGACGCUCAACGUCUGAAUUGCAGCGCAUACUGGUUUCCUUGAGUACGCACAACGUUGGCGGAAUUCGUCGUGUAGCGGUGAAAUGCUUCGAUAUGACGAAGAACUCCGAUUGCGAAGGCAGCUGACGGGAGCGCAACUGACGCUUAAGCUCGAAGGUGCGGGUAUCAAACAGGAUUAGAUACCCUGGUAGUCCGCACAGUAAACGAUGGAUGCCCGCUGUUGGUACCUGGUAUCAGCGGCUAAGCGAAAGCAUUAAGCAUCCCACCU
rnacentral:rRNA from 1 species